ensembl:lncRNA
AGUUAGAGGAGGAAGAGAGGAGGCAGAGGAGGAAGAGAGGAAGUGGAGGAAGAGAGGAGAUGGAGGAGGAAGAGAGGAAGUGGAGGAGGAAGAGAGGAGGCAGAGGAGGAAGAGAGGAAGUGGAGGAAGAGAGGAGACGGAGGAGGAAGAGAGGAAGCGGAGGAGGAAGAGAGGAAGCAGAGGAGGAAGAGAGGAAGUGGAGGAAGAGACGAGACGGAGGAGGAAGAGAGGAAGUGGAGGAGGAAGAGAGGAGGCAGAGGAGGAAAGGAGGAGAAGGAGGAGGAAGAGAGGAAGUGGAGGAAGAGAGGAGACGGAGGAGGAAGAGAGGAAGUGGAAGAAGAGAGGAAGUGGAGGA